UACGUAGGUCCCGAGCGUUGUCCGGAUUUAUUGGGCGUAAAGCGAGCGCAGGUGGUUUAUUAAGUCUGGUGUAAAAGGCAGUGGCUCAACCAUUGUAUGCAUUGGAAACUGGUAGACUUGAGUGCAGGAGAGGAGAGUGGAAUUCCAUGUGUAGCGGUGAAAUGCGUAGAUAUAUGGAGGAACCCCGGUGGCGAAAGCGGCUCUCUGGCCUGUAACUGACGCUGAGGCUCGAAAGCGUGGGGAGCAAACAGG
rnacentral:rRNA from 1 species